UACGGAAGGCAGCAGGGGGGAAUAUUGCACAAUGGGCGAAAGCCUGAUGCAGCUAUGCCGCGUGUAUGAAGAAGGCCUUAGGGUUGUAAAGUACUUUCAUCGGGGAGGAAAAAACAAAACUAAUAAUUUUAUUUCUUGACGUUACCCGAAAAAGAAGCACCGGCUAACUCCGUGCCAGCAGCCGCGGUAAUACGGAGGGUGCUAGCGUUAAUCAGAAUUACUGGGCGUAAAGAGCACGUAGGUGGUUUUUUUAAAGUCAGAUGUGAAAUCCCUGGGCUUAACCUGGAACUGCAUUUUGAAACUGAAAUACUAGAGUAUCGUAGAGGGAGGUAGAAUUCUAGGUGUAGCGGUGAAAUGCGUAGAUAUCUGGAGGAAUACCUGUGGCGAAAGCGGCCUCCUAAACGAAUACUGACACUGAGGUGCGAAAGCGUGGGGAGCAAACAGGGAUUAGAUA
rnacentral:rRNA from 1 species